rnacentral:rRNA from 1 species
GACGAACCGAGCGAACGUUGUUCGGAAUCACUGGGCUUAAAGGGCGCGUAGGCGGGCUGUCAAGUCUGGGGUGAAAUCCCACGGCUCAACCGUGGAACUGCCUUAGAUACUGACGGCCUCGAGGGAGAUAGGGGCGAGCGGAACUGUGAGUGGAGCGGUGAAAUGCGUUGAUAUUCACAGGAACUCCGGUGGCGAAGGCGGCUCGCUGGAUCUUUUCUGACGCUGAGGCGCGAAAGCUAGGGGAGCAAACCGG